rnacentral:rRNA from 1 species
GGUCUCCGUUGGUGAACCAGCGGAGGGAUCAUUACCGAGUUUACAACUCCCAAACCCCUGUGAACAUACCAAUUGUUGCCUCGGCGGAUCAGCCCGCUCCCGGUAAAACGGGACGGCCCGCCAGAGGACCCCUAAACUCUGUUUCUAUAUGUAACUUCUGAGUAAAACCAUAAAUAAAUCAAAACUUUCAACAACGGAUCUCUUGGUUCUGGCAUCGAUGAAGAACGCAGCAAAAUGCGAUAAGUAAUGUGAAUUGCAGAAUUCAGUGAAUCAUCGAAUCUUUGAACGCACAUUGCGCCCGCCAGUAUUCUGGCGGGCAUGCCUGUUCGAGCGUCAUUUCAACCCUCAAGCCCAGCUUGGUGUUGGGACUCGCGAGUCAAAUCGCGUUCCCCAAAUUGAUUGGCGGUCACGUCGAGCUUCCAUAGCGUAGUAGUAAAACCCUCGUUACUGGUAAUCGUCGCGGCCACGCCGUUAAACCCCAACUUCUGAAUGUUGACCUCGGAUCAGGUAGGAAUACCCGCUGAACUUAAGCAUAUCAAUAAGCGGGGGGAA